UUGGAGGGCAAGUCUGGUGCCAGCAGCCGCGGUAAUUCCAGCUCCAAUAGCGUAUAUUAAAGUUGCUGCAGUUAAAAAGCUCGUAGUUGAAUUUCGGGACCAAUAUGUCGGUCGUGCCUCGGUACGUACUGGCAUCGUUGGUUUCUCCCUUCUGACGAACCAUGAUGUCAUUUAUUUGGUGUCGUGGGGAAUCAGGACUGUUACUUUGAAAAAAUUAGAGUGUUUAAAGCAAGCUAACGCUUGAAUACAUUAGCAUGGAAUAAUGAAAUAGGACGUUUGAUUCUAUUUUGUUGGUUUCUAGGAUCGAUGUAAUGAUUAAUAGGGAUAGUUGGGGGCAUUAGUAUUCAAUUGUCAGAGGUGAAAUUCUUGGAUUUAUUGAAGACUAACUACUGCGAAAGCAUUUGCCAAGGAUGUUUUCAUUAAUCAAGAACGAAAGUUAGGGGAUCGAAGACGAUCAGAUACUGUCGUAGUCUUAACCAUAAACUAUGCCGACUAGGGAUCGGAUGAUGUUAAUUUUUUAAUGACUCANUCGGCGCCUUACGGGAAACAA
rnacentral:rRNA from 1 species